CAGCUAAAUCAAUAAUCCAAAGGGAAUUUGGAUUAGUUAUUUUUCAUGGCUUUCCUACUUAAAGUUGAUGUUUCAAGAGGCAAGGUAUGUAAUCUUCUAUAUCCUAAAAAAGAUAAAAGUGGUUUUGUACUUCAGAGAAACAACUUAUGAGUCUAAUGGAGAAAAAUGUCUCAAGGAGACACCAUGGUCUUCAGAAGAAAGAGUGGGUACAAUUUUAAGGAUUCUUAAUGGUGAGAACAGGAAGAGAGGAUUCAAAUAAUGAAAGCACCCAAAGAGAAUUGGAGGGUGAAAUUUUUCAGGAAAAUAGAAUACCUUUCAAAGAUCCAAGGAAUGAAUAGUUCUUUCAAGAGAUGAAUUGGAAACAUUUGUUCUGCUACUGGAGAGAGACACAUGAGAUCAAAAAUAUUCCAAAAGGAGGUAGGUCAAAUGUUUUUCAGAAGGAAGAAAGAGAAAUAUGACACAAUAAGGAGGACAAGAUGGAAUUUAAAUGAGUUCAUCUAGAGGAGAGUCUAGAUAGUUUCCAAGAUUCUAGAGAAUGGACUAAAAAAGUGAAACUAAUACAAACCAAAGAUAUCCCAGAAAGAGGUAGGUACAUAUGUCUUUCAGGAAAAGGAUGGUAAUGAUUUUUUUUUAAAAGGAAGAGGCAAGAAUUGAAGGAAAGAAAGAAGGAAAUAAGCAUGUAUUAAGCUCCUUCUAUGUCAGGCUUUACAAAUAUCUGAUUUGAUCCUCACAACAAUCCCUAAGAGAUGAGGAAACUAAGAAUGAGAAAUUAAGCAACUUGUUCAAAAAGACAUACAGGAUUCAUAGUUCAUAGAUCAAGAGUUUUGGAAGGGACCUCAGAGACCAUCUAGUGGAACCCAUUUUACAGAUGAGGAAAUAUGCCCAGGGGGAGGUAAGGUUGGCUCUCCUAAGGUGAAACAAUGUAAGUAUCAAAUGUGAAAUUUGAACCAAGAUUCUGGGAUUCAAAAGCCAGUGCUUUUCCCCUUUAACACACUUCAAACCCAAGUAUGCUUGGACUCCAAUGUUAGAAUUUUUUCCAUUAGACCAUAAUUCCUGAGAAGACAAGAAGAAAACUUUUUUUGAGUAAAAAUGGAAUAAAUCCUACGGCUGGUAUACAAGCACAGAAGUUGAGGCAGACAAAAUCCUGUCAAGUUGGCGGAAGCGAAAACAUUUUCUUGGAAAGUGGUCACCUUCAAGAAGCCAAUGAAAAAGCAUCAAUGAGUACAUGCACAUCUGAAAAGAGGAGGCAAUUACUGAUCUUCCUCUGGAUGAGAAAAUAGAAGACUGAAUACAACAUUUUUAGUCAAAAGAAAAUUGUCCUUCAACGCUACUGUAAUUAAAACAAAGACCUUUCGUGUGUCUAUCUUCUCCAAAUGAAAUCUGAAGAACUAAAAAAACACCCCCAAGAUACUCCUGAUUCUUUCCUUCUCAAGUCUGUUCAGGUCGUUCAUUAUCAACACCUAAGGGGCCCAAUAGAAAAUCACAGAUAUUUCAGCAUGUUCCCUAAAGGCUUCUAUGCCAAGAAAAAACUUAAGAGAUGAAAAAAAUCAACAGACAUACUUUGAGUAAUGAGUACAAAAGCACACAAUAAAGAACUUUCACAUACCAUCUCAAA